ACGGCAACCGACAUCAUCCUCCAUACACACACACGCACGCAGCAUACUCAGCCCCGUAACAAUCAAUGAGCUAGUAGCACCGAAUGAUUUCGCUAUGCUCAAUAGGUGAAGCCCUCUGAAAGGGAAUGAAGCGAGCCGUUGGAAAUUACCAACAUACUCUCCACAUACAUUCAAAUACGGGGGAGAACAAAUUCAAUCGAGGAAUCCCAGCCCCCUUCCAGGAAUAAAUAAGAAAAUAAUAAACCUCCAUGAACUUACCAUGUUACUGUGCUAGUUAUGUGUGUCCCCCAUGUUGCAGUCUACCCAA
rnacentral:sRNA from 1 species